GACGAACGCUGGUGGCGUGCUUAACACAUGCAAGUCGAACGGAAAGGCCCUGCUUUUGUGGGGUGCUCGAGUGGCGAACGGGUGAGUAGCACGUGAGUAACCUGCCCUUGACUUUGGGAUAACUUCAGGAAACUGGGGCUAAUACCGGAUAGGAGCUCCUGCUGCAUGGUGGGGGUUGGAAAGUUUCGGCGGUUGGGGAUGGACUCGCGGCUUAUCAGCUUGUUGGUGGGGUAGUGGCUUACCAAGGCUUUGACGGGUAGCCGGCCUGAGAGGGUGACCGGCCACAUUGGGACUGAGAUACGGCCCAGACUCCUACGGGAGGCAGCAGUGGGGAAUAUUGCACAAUGGGCGGAAGCCUGAUGCAGCAACGCCGCGUGCGGGAUGACGGCCUUCGGGUUGUAAACCGCUUUCGCCUGUGACGAAGCGUGAGCGACGGUAAUGGGUAAAGAAGCACCGGCUAACUACGUG
rnacentral:rRNA from 1 species